CAGUAGCCGCGGUAAUACGAAGGGUGCAAGCGUUAAUCGGAAUUACUGGGCGUAAAGCGCGCGUAGGUGGUUUGGUAAGAUGGAUGUGAAAUCCCCGGGCUCAACCUGGGAACUGCAUCCAUAACUGCCUGACUAGAGUACGGUAGAGGGUGGUGGAAUUUCCUGUGUAGCGGUGAAAUGCGUAGAUAUAGGAAGGAACACCAGUGGCGAAGGCGACCACCUGGACUGAUACUGACACUGAGGUGCGAAAGCGUGGGGAGCAAACAGGAUUAGAUACCCGCGUAGUCCUGUCUCUUAUACA
rnacentral:rRNA from 1 species